AUGGAUGAGUAUUUCAGACGGGACAAGGCGUAUUUUCCUAUGCACGUUAAUGAUAAUCAUUGGAUAACCAUAGUGAUGCACACCGUCAAGGAGGAGUUUCAAGUUCUUGACUCAAAUUCUAAAGGCACAAUUAGCCAAAGAAUUCGCAAUAUGAUUGCCACCCUGAGGGCUGAAAUUUCUAAGGAUAUUAUGGAGGCCAACUCUAUUCUUGAAUCAAAAAAAUUUCCAGAUGUCUCAUCGUGGCCAAUUAAUGAGUAUAAAAUACUGAUACAACAUGAUGGAGUGUCUUGUGGACUUUUUGUGAUGUGGUGCAUAAAAUACUGGGACGGAGAUCGCUGGACACAUGAAUUUGACCAGCAAGAGAUUAAUGAGUCAAGGCCACGUAUUGUCGCGGAAAUCAUUUUUUCUGAGGUCAACAGAUUA
rnacentral:rRNA from 1 species